rnacentral:rRNA from 1 species
AACGAACGCUGGCGGCGCGCCUAACACAUGCAAGUCGCACGCGAAAGGGGGCGAACCCUGAGUAGAGUGGCGCACGGGUGAGUAACACGUGGGUAAUCUGUCCUCGAGUGGGGAAUAACGUCCCGAAAGGGACGCUAAUACCGCAUGACCUCCCCGGGUCCUUGGACCUGGGGAGCAAAGGUGGCCUCUGCUUGCAAGCUACCGCUUGAGGAGGAGCCCGCGGCCCAUUAGGUAGUUGGUGGGGUAAUGGCCCACCAAGCCUACGAUGGGUAGCCGGCCUGAGAGGGUGGUCGGCCACACUGGCACUGAGACACGGGCCAGACUCCUACGGGAGGCAGCAGUGAGGAAUCUUGGGCAAUGGGCGAAAGCCUGACCCAGCGACGCCGCGUGGGUGAUGAAGGCCUUCGGGUCGUAAAACCCUGUGAGUUGGGAAGAAGCCGUAACGUGCUAAUACCACGUUGCGGUGACAGUACCAGCAGAGGAAGCCCCGGCUAACUACGUGCCAGCCGCAGC